UUAUCCUAUAAAAGUUGGCUCUAUUCAUCUCCACUUUUGUUCUUUGACCUCAAAGAUGGUGCUGAUAGUGAUGAGGACGAGGAGGAAGAAGAUAUCGAAGACGGACUACAAGAAGAAGCCAAAUUACGGUUGAUGUGUGUCCAUUAUUGUGUCUGCGACUUUGAGGGUGAUGAUUAAGCCUGGAUCCCUAGCUAUCAUAUCCCCAACAAUUGGUGGUGACUGGUCUCAAUCGAACAACUGAAUACAAAAUAAUUGAGAUUACACCUUAGCUCUUCUUCUGAAACAUGACAUAUUCUUAUCAUAUAAGAAAGAAGCACAUAAUUGAUUUUCUUGCAAAAUCUGACUACUUAGCAAAUAUAUGGAAAAAGUUUUAGUAUAUCCACAUUC